AUUGAACGCUGGCGGCAUGCCUUACACAUGCAAGUCGAACGGCAGCACGGGUGCUUGCACCUGGUGGCGAGUGGCGAACGGGUGAGUAAUACAUCGGAACAUGUCCUGUAGUGGGGGAUAGCCCGGCGAAAGCCGGAUUAAUACCGCAUACGAUCUACGGAUGAAAGCGGGGGACCUUCGGGCCUCGCGCUAUCGGGUUGGCCGAUGGCUGAUUAGCUAGUUGGUGGGGUAAAGGCCUACCAAGGCGACGAUCAGUAGCUGGUCUGAGAGGACGACCAGCCACACUGGGACUGAGACACGGCCCAGACUCCUACGGGAGGCAGCAGUGGGGAAUUUUGGACAAUGGGCGAAAGCCUGAUCCAGCAAUGCCGCGUGUGUGAAGAAGGCCUUCGGGUUGUAAAGCACUUUUGUCCGGAAAGAAAUCCUUGGCCCUAAUACGGUCGGGGGAUGACGGUACCGGAAGAAUAAGCACCGGCUAACUGCGUG
rnacentral:rRNA from 1 species